rnacentral:rRNA from 1 species
UAUCAACUUGAGAAUGCCCAGUCCAGUCAGAUCUCGGAAGCUAAGGAGGUCUGGGCCUGGUUAGUUCUUGGAAUGGAAACCGCUGGGAAUACCAGGUG